rnacentral:rRNA from 1 species
GCAGUCGUACGCUUCUUUUUCCACCGGAGCUUGCUCCACCGGAAAAAGAAGAGUGGCGAACGGGUGAGUAACACGUGGGUAACCUGCCCAUCAGAAGGGGAUAACACUUGGAAACAGGUGCUAAUACCGUAUAACAAUCGAAACCGCAUGGUUUUGAUUUGAAAGGCGCUUUCGGGUGUCGCUGAUGGAUGGACCCGCGGUGCAUUAGCUAGUUGGUGAGGUAACGGCUCACCAAGGCCACGAUGCAUAGCCGACCUGAGAGGGUGAUCGGCCACAUUGGGACUGAGACACGGCCCAAACUCCUACGGGAGGCAGCAGUAGGGAAUCUUCGGCAAUGGACGAAAGUCUGACCGAGCAACGCCGCGUGAGUGAAGAAGGUUUUCGGAUCGUAAAACUCUGUUGUUAGAGAAGAACAAGGAUGAGAGUAACUGUUCAUCCCUUGACGGUAUCUAACCAGAAAGCCACGGCUAACUACGUGCCAGCAGCCGCGGUAAUACGUAGGUGGCAAGCGUUGUCCGGAUUUAUUGGGCGUAAAGCGAGCGCAGGCGGUUUCUUAAGUCUGAUGUGAAAGCCCCCGGCUCAACCGGGGAGGGUCAUUGGAAACUGGGAGACUUGAGUGCAGAAGAGGAGAGUGGAAUUCCAUGUGUAGCGGUGAAAUGCGUAGAUAUAUGGAGGAACACCAGUGGCGAAGGCGGCUCUCUGGUCUGUAACUGACGCUGAGGCUCGAAAGCGUGGGGAGCAAACAGGAUUAGAUACCCUGGUAGUCCACGCCGUAAACGAUGAGUGCUAAGUGUUGGAGGGUUUCCGCCCUUCAGUGCUGCAGCUAACGCAUUAAGCACUCCGCCUGGGGAGUACGACCGCAAGGUUGAAACUCAAAGGAAUUGACGGGGGCCCGCACAAGCGGUGGAGCAUGUGGUUUAAUUCGAAGCAACGCGAAGAACCUUACCAGGUCUUGACAUCCUUUGACCACUCUAGAGAUAGAGCUUCCCCUUCGGGGGCAAAGUGACAGGUGGUGCAUGGUUGUCGUCAGCUCGUGUCGUGAGAUGUUGGGUUAAGUCCCGCAACGAGCGCAACCCUUAUUGUUAGUUGCCAUC